AGUGGAAUUGCUGGGUCAUAUGGUAAUUUAACUUUAUAAGAAACUGCAAAACUGUUUUUCAGAAUGGCUCUCCUAUUUUGCAUUCCCACAAGCAAU
rnacentral:pre_miRNA from 2 species